GUCCUUCUCUACUCUGCUCUUGUGAGGCCCCAUCUGGAGUACUGUGUCCAGGUAUGGAGCCCCCAGUACAAGAAAGAGAGCUGUUGGAGAGGGUCCAGAGGAGGGCCACAAAGAUGAUCAGGGGGCUGGAGCACCUCCCCUACGAAGACAGGCUGAGGGAGCUGGGAUUAUUCAUCCUGGAGAAGAGAAGGCUGCGGGCUGACCUCAUUGCAGCCUUUCAACCUGAAGGGAGCCUAUAAACAGGAAGGGAGUAAACUCUUUGAAAGGGUAGUUAACAGCAGGACAAGGGGAAUGGUCUUAAGUUGAAAGAGGGAAGAUUUAGGUUGGAUGUUAGGGGGAAGUUCUUUACUAUGAGAGUGGUGAGGUGCUGGAACAGGCUGCCCAGAGAGGUUGCAGAUUCCCCAUCCCUGGAGGUGUUCAAGGCCAGGCUGCCCAGGGCCCCAUCCAACCUGGCCUUGAACACCUCCACAGAUGGACAGGGCAUCCACAGCCUCUCUGGGCAGCCUGUUCCAACACCUCGUAGUAAAGAACUUCCCCUGAUAUCCAACCUAAAUCUUCUCUCCCUCAAUUUAAAAUCAUUUCCCCUUGUCCUGCUAUUAUCUACCCUUUCAAAGAGUUGACUCCCCUCCUGUUUAUAGGCUCUCUUUAGGUACUGAAAGGCUGCAAUUAGGUCACUCUGCAGUCUUCUUUUCUCCAGGCUGAACAAGCCCAGCUCCAUCAGCCUGUCUUCAUAGGCGAGAUUUUUUCUACUGCAUUGGAUAAAGGCAACAUAUAUUUAUUUUUGCAGAUCCUCCAGUUUCUUUUCUUCUUACUUGAGCUGAGAUUCUUCAGCCAUGUGAGCACCUCCUUCCCUCUCUCAAUUCUUCAUUCUCAGCCUGAAGGAAUGGUUCCCCCCUCCGGGUCUAGCGAAAUAAGUAAUACUGCCUUGGUUGCCCCACAUCCCGUAACUUAAUAAGUAACUUAAUAAGUCCCGUAACGUAAUAAGUCUGUAUGCAUUUGGAAAGAGGAAGGUAUCUCUUUGCCACAGUCAUGUUGUGAGCAAAAGCAUUGCAAAGCUGUGUUGUAUAUGUUGGAAUCAACAAGGAGGCCUGCUCACUGCUGAGUUGGAGGUUUUUCUUCAAAGUCUUGGCUAUUUCCAGCAUUGCUACCACUGCAUAACAUUGGUGAAAUCAGUUCACUGCAGUGUGCCUCACCUGGUCAACAUAUAAUAUGGGGCAAUCAUACUUCAGAGUUUUUCCAAGUGUCCUAGUAUUCAUUGAGGACAAUUGCAAUAAGCAAGUUGAGAGUAUUACUCAGCCACAGUUUACUGUCUGCUUUUCUUGGGUGAAACAUGCCAUAUCUUCUGCCUCCCUCCAUUCCCUUUUGCAAACAAAGUGUGCACAACUGGCACUGAGGUCUUGCCUCUGGCAUCUUUGUGCAGACAGCAGUGUUGUUUCUGUUGUCACAGGAUUUUGCUGGAGGAUUACAGGAGCUUUUGGAGAAUCCAUGACAAGGAGACAUCUUUCUUUCUCCUCCCUGCUGUCUUGCCCCCUGCAUGAAUUUAACCACAGAGUACUGUUUCUUCCCAGCACCUCACCGAUGUGUGAAAAGUCAGCCUCAUCAGAAAAUAGCUGAGCAGGCACUAACAGCCUCCACUCAAAAAAACAGGUUCAGCAUCAUCACUGCUGUAGAUAGCAUGCAUGAAAAGGAGAGGAAAAAAUAGAGACUCUAUGCCUUUUGGGAAAACAAAUUAAGUUUGCAUUGAAAUGUGCAGGCUGCUUGUUGAAACAGUCUGAUCUGGGGGAUGGAGGAAGAGAUGGUGGGAGGGAUGGAAGGUGGGAACAUGUAAGAGUAAAGAAAUUACAUGUCAGGAAAGCUGUUUCAGUUGAACCGCAUAAGUCCUUUGCCACGGUAGAAAAAUAUGAAACCUGGCCUUGCUCUGUUCUUGUAAAUCUCUGGCUGCAGAGGCCAUGAGGAAAGAUGAGGCGAUGUGUGGUGCGGGCUCAGAGUGUUAUCAAUUUCACCAUGUGGACUUUUAUGUCCUGCUAUGUGAAAGUGAAAUAUUCGUUCUUUCAGAUUUCAGGUUUUUGACCUCUUUUCUCAGAGAUUUUACAAGAACCCAUCACAGCCUGAUCUUCCAUUGCAAGUCCCAGUGUUAGGUAGAUCUGGCUCUACUCUCAACAUUUAAGUAAAUCUCCCCAGCCUGGCCUGCUCUUGGUUUCUUUUCUGCAUGUUGUUGUUUGCUUGUUGAUCCAUGCUGUGGGUUGGAGCACAAUUAAAUGAAGAAAAAUGAAAAUGUGGUGCUAUGCCAGACAGUUUUGCUUCUGUCUUGCUGAUUAUGAAAGAUGAGUGUGAUUCUGGGCAAACAGACAAGAAUAGAUAAUGCCAUGUCCUUGAUGUACCCAACCUCAGGCAGCUUCCUUGGAGCUCUGGUCGUUCCCCAAGACCCGUGAGAAGAAGGGCAGCGCUGAUGUAGGCAGGAGCUGCCCUUGUCCCUGGGCUUGUUUAUUACAGUCUGUCACAACCUAGGGUGCUUGCUGGCUUGAUAUUCUUAGAUAGGCAUUAUUUUGAGCUACAUAUUUGUAUACGAUGUAAAUCUAACCUCAGCUGAAAGUCCUUGCUGUUAUUUUGCACAAGAAGAAUUUUCCUGUCAUAAAUCAGCCCACCUUCUUCUGCUGAAUCUAAAGUUUCUGAUUUCACCAGCAAAAACACGGCCUCUCCUGUAAGAUAUUAACAUUCAUUGCUGCUUGCACAUUGACUUCCUUCUUCAAGCCCUCUGUUUUCUUCCUUUCUCUUCAUCACUUUUACCCCCAGUUUUGAUUCAGUAAGACCUAGCACCAAUUUUUAUUCCCCAAACACAGUCAUUAGUCCAUCCACAGAAUCAUAGAAUCAUUAAAGUUGGAAAAGAUCACUACGAUCAUCAAGUCCAACUGCCAGCCCACCCCACCGUGCCCACUAUACCAUGUUCCUCAGUGCCAAACCUACCCUUUUGUUGGACACCUCCAGGGACAGUGAUUCCACCAACUCCCCGGGCAGUGAGAACACUUACCUUUUGCUCAGCAGCUGCCUCAUCCUCAGCCAAUCUCUGACACCUAGUCUUGUCCUCC
ensembl:lncRNA